UUGAGUAGCAAUACUUAAUGAGAGUGGCGCACGGGUGCGUAACGCGUAUGCAACCUACCUUUAACAGGGGGAUAGCUCCGAGAAAUCGGGAUUAAUACCCCAUAGUAUUAUUGAUUGGCAUCGAUUAAUAAUUAAAGCUCCGGCGGUUAAAGAUGGGCAUGCGUGCCAUUAGCUAGUUGGUGAGGUAAAGGCUCACCAAGGCGAUGAUGGCUAGGGGUUCUGAGAGGAUUAUCCCCCACACUGGUACUGAGACACGGACCAGACUCCUACGGGAGGCAGCAGUAAGGAAUAUUGGGCAAUGGACGCAAGUCUGACCCAGCCAUGCCGCGUGCAGGAAGACGGCCCUAUGGGUUGUAAACUGCUUUUAUCAGGGAAUAACCCCCCGGAUGUAUCCGGGGCUGAAUGUACCUGAAGAAUAAGCAUCGGCUAACUCCGUGCCAG
rnacentral:rRNA from 1 species